ensembl:lincRNA Gm26719 predicted gene, 26719
GUGUUGUUUUGUUUUUUAAUGCAGAUAUACAGUUUCUCCAACACCUUUUGUUGAAAUAGUUCUUUUCCUUUACAAUAAAAGUCUGAGCUUUUGUUGCAAGUCUUCUGAUCAUCUUUGUGGGAGUUUAUGUGUUCUGUGAUCGAGCUGAUGAUCUGUGUCUCUUUAGGAAUUACCAUGGUUUUGUAGUUAUCAGAAAUCAGGAAUCUGAGACCUCUGUGUUUUGUAUGGCUUUUUUUCUUCUUCCCAAUUUCCAGAUUGUAUUGCCUAUUUAAGGCUCUUUGAGAUUCUAUAUAUAUUUAGGCUAGAUUUUCCUAUUUCUGCACAAAAGGCCACUAUGGUGCUGAUGAUAGGAUCAGCAGAUCACCUUAAUAUUACAGACUUUUAAAAAAAUAAGCAUUAAGCCUUUUACACAAUAAACAUGGGAUGUUUCCUCUUUAAAAAAAAAAGAUGGACGGGUUUACUUUGGCUUUCCGUUUAAGGGUACAGCCUAUGGGGUAGCAGCAGGUGUGUAAGGUCACAGCUCUCAUGGCACCCACAGUAAGGAAAUAGAAAGAGAUAAAUGCUCGUGUCCAGCUGCCUUUCUUCUUGCCAUUCAGGAUGGAGGCCCAGCUGGGAGACAGUGACACCACAUUCAGAGUGGAUCUUCCUUACUUAAUAAACAUCCUCACAGAACUCCAGUCAGGUUAAUGAUAAGGACGAGCCAUCUCAUCACAACUAGGGGUGAUGAUCUUGUACUGAAGUUUAGUGCUAAAAUGAGGUUCCACCUUCAGGGAAUCUCAGUUCUUGUAGAGAAGCAAAUGUGUGAAGACAUACAUGGUUCCUGCAAGCUUUGGCGAUGGGUAGCCAGGGAGACACUGAAUGGACAUUCAAAUGUAUUUCCAGAGAUACCUCCAACUGGACAUUCACUGAGUUUGUGAACUUCUUUUAUAAAAAUACAAAUACAGCUAAGAGACCCUGUGGAUUGCUGUCUGUAUGCAGACUAGGUCUGGUGAAAUCUUAAUUAGUCAGAUAAGGCUAGAGCCUAUGAUUGGGCAGUGGGAAGGAAGGUGGAGCUGAAAGUUUUAGGGAAGAGAAAGAGAGAGAGAUAGACAGACAGACAGGAAGAAGACGGAAGAAGAAGAUGAUCCAGAUCCACAUGGCCUGAAAUAGCCUCAGGUAGCUAUGGUUAUCAUAGAAGGGCAAUAAUGUAGGCCAAUUUGUCCAACCUACGUGUGCAGCCUGUAUCAAUAUCAAAUUGAGUUUUGAGUACUUUGUGUGGGCAUUUUGGGGUUGAGGAUCUACUGUUACAAAUCUGGCUGGUAAAUUACAAGCCUCAGGAGUUUUCAUUAUAUGAGGCUAGGAGUUUAGAACCAGCAGCAGCCAGUCUCAGCAGAUUAGCUGCAGGGGUAGGAUGGCCUGGGAGGGUAUGAGCCGUUGGGGAGCAGCUAACCUCGAGAACCUGGGAAGACUGUGCCUUAUGGCUCCUCAUGGGGUGGUGAGAUCACGGUGCCAGUGCCAGCCAUAGCUGGACUUAGUGUGCAUGGUUUUUAAUAAUUACAUCCUACAAGACUCUACCUAAACUGAGGGUAUACUUAAGUAUGACUUGGUUCCAUCAGCUUACUUUCUGCUGCCACUUUGCAAGUCAUACUCAAGAAGUUAUAUUUUUAUUUAACAGGGAGUAUCUUGCAUUGGGAGUGGAAUUAAUCAUGGGUAGCAUAGAAUGCAAGUGGUUUAGGAGUUAGAAAAGAAUCAGGAAGCUCACAGAAAGCACAGAGAAAAGUGUCAGGAUUCAAGAACAGGCAAACCUUGGAAGUAUUAGACCUGGAAUAGACUUCAUGGUAUGCAUCAUGAGCCAAUGCUAAAAAUAACUUCAAUCAUGGUAUAUGAAUGACGGAAUUUUAUAUAUUUAUUUUUUAUUAACUAAUAAUUAGAAUCUUAUAAAGCUGCAUCCUGUUUGUAUGUAACCAAUGUUUUAAAUUUUAUUUGUUAUAGCUUUUCUUUCUUUCUCUCUCUCUUUCUUUCUUUCUUUCAUUAUUAUUUUUAUUAAUUGGGUUUCCUGGGUACUCGCAGAGAGAAGGAAGCACUGUUUGUCCUGCCGGUAUCCUUCUUCACAUCUGCUAGCCUGAGUUUGAGAGGGUGUGUGUGGGACAGUGCCAGAGACGUCCGCUGCAAUCUUCUUAGUCCCUCGGAGUGUCAGGGUCUGGUAAAAGAGACAGAUCGCCACCACCAAACCCACCAGGAAAGGUCGGGGGCAAAAUCGCCGGCGACAAAGGAACCCGGGUCGACAGACCAUGACCAGUCCAGGAUCACUUGGCCCCUGGCCACGUUGUCAGUGUGAAAAAAACACACAUCUGUCUUCUUUUUACACAAUUCCAAUCAAGUUCGCCCCAUCUCCGCUUGAAAACUUUCCGAAGGUUCAUGCCAAAGAUUCAUAGGACCCAGCGGUCAGAGGUGGUUAAUAGCCCUUAAAUGAAGGACAGUAAGAAGUGACUGGCCAGAUUUUUUUUUUAAGAUGUCAAAAUAAAGAUAGUUAUAAGAAAUCAUCCGAAUGCAUCCCCAGCUACCAAGAGUUCCUUCCGGUAAUGCCUUACUUCCACAACAUUCUUAAAGUCAGGAGUUCAGCUUGUCUCCUCUUUUGGGGCAAAAAGAAAGCACCGUAAAGCGGGUCUGGAGGCAGAAACCAGCCGAAGACGCAGUCGAUUUAACCCGAAGUGCCUGUUGCACAGCUGGGCGCCGGCCAGGUUGUCCUAGCAGUUUCUCAUUUUCCCUCCGGUUUUAAAGCCAUCCCGCUCCCAGCCUUUUAUGUUGUAGAACUGCUGCUUCCUUUCGUUCAGUUUUAAAUUGCCACUUUGCUGCUAGCAUUCACGGCUUUUAACAUAAAAAAGGGGGAUAGCAGUUUGGCUGUAUGUGGUUACUGUCAGGGCUUUGCUUGCGUUUGGUCUCAUUCCGUUUCAAGUUCAAAGUUCUGUGUACUUACUCAGUUUUCAUCCUUUUAGCCAGAUUUUUUUUUUCAUGAUCCCCUAAUGGAUUGCUGAUCAAAAUCACUUGGAAGGAAACACCCAGGCGUAGGACUCCGCUUCAUCUCACUCUCACGCACGGACAGACACGCGCAGACUCGCGGAGACACGCGCGUGCCAGCUGCACACAGGGCCGAGAGCCGGAGGACCUGGGCCAUCGCUGCCACCCAGGCCGAGC